AGAGUUUGAUCAUGGCUCAGAUUGAACGCUGGCGGCAGGCCUAACACAUGCAAGUCGAACGGUAGCACAGAGAGCUUGCUCUCGGGUGACGAGUGGCGGACGGGUGAGUAAUGUCUGGGAAACUGCCUGAUGGAGGGGGAUAACUACUGGAAACGGUAGCUAAUACCGCAUAACGUCGCAAGACCAAAGAGGGGGACCUUCGGGCCUCUUGCCAUCAGAUGUGCCCAGAUGGGAUUAGCUAGUAGGUGGGGUAACGGCUCACCUAGGCGACGAUCCCUAGCUGGUCUGAGAGGAUGACCAGCCACACUGGAACUGAGACACGGUCCAGACUCCUACGGGAGGCAGCAGUGGGGAAUAUUGCACAAUGGGCGCAAGCCUGAUGCAGCCAUGCCGCGUGUAUGAAGAAGGCCUUCGGGUUGUAAAGUACUUUCAGCGGGGAGGAAGGUGUUGUGGUUAAUAACCGCAGCAAUUGACGUUACCCGCAGAAGAAGCACCGGCUAACUCCGUGCCAGCAGCCGCGGUAAUACGGAGGGUGCAAGCGUUAAUCGGAAUUACUGGGCGUAAAGCGCACGCAGGCGGUCUGUCAAGUCGGAUGUGAAAUCCCCGGGCUCAACCUGGGAACUGCAUUCGAAACUGGCAGGCUAGAGUCUUGUAGAGGGGGGUAGAAUUCCAGGUGUAGCGGUGAAAUGCGUAGAGAUCUGGAGGAAUACCGGUGGCGAAGGCGGCCCCCUGGACAAAGACUGACGCUCAGGUGCGAAAGCGUGGGGAGCAAACAGGAUUAGAUACCCUGGUAGUCCACGCCGUAAACGAUGUCGACUUGGAGGUUGUGCCCUUGAGGCGUGGCUUCCGGAGCUAACGCGUUAAGUCGACCGCCUGGGGAGUACGGCCGCAAGGUUAAAACUCAAAUGAAUUGACGGGGGCCCGCACAAGCGGUGGAGCAUGUGGUUUAAUUCGAUGCAACGCGAAGAACCUUACCUACUCUUGACAUCCAGAGAACUUUCCAGAGAUGGAUUGGUGCCUUCGGGAACUCUGAGACAGGUGCUGCAUGGCUGUCGUCAGCUCGUGUUGUGAAAUGUUGGGUUAAGUCCCGCAACGAGCGCAACCCUUAUCCUUUGUUGCCAGCGGUCCGGCCGGGAACUCAAAGGAGACUGCCAGUGAUAAACUGGAGGAAGGUGGGGAUGACGUCAAGUCAUCAUGGCCCUUACGAGUAGGGCUACACACGUGCUACAAUGGCGCAUACAAAGAGAAGCGAACUCGCGAGAGCAAGCGGACCUCAUAAAGUGCGUCGUAGUCCGGAUUGGAGUCUGCAACUCGACUCCAUGAAGUCGGAAUCGCUAGUAAUCGUAGAUCAGAAUGCUACGGUGAAUACGUUCCCGGGCCUUGUACACACCGCCCGUCACACCAUGGGAGUGGGUUGCAAAAGAAGUAGGUAGCUUAACCUUCGGGAGGGCGCUUACCACUUUGUGAUUCAUGACUGGGGUGAAGUCGUAACAAGGUAACCGUAGGGGAACCUGC
rnacentral:rRNA from 2 species